CAUCUUGUGGUUAUGAAAGAAAUAAACACCCCAGAGGAAUCCUCUGUUUUCAAGCAUCUCCCUUCCCUGUGACAGCUCUAGUAAUAGUGCCUGGGUUAGAAGCAAGAUCCUCAGAACGUGAAAAUCAAAUUCUAUAUAAUCCGCUUACAGCAGAAGCAAAUUAAAAGUGAUUUUUAUAAGUUUUUGAGCUCAACACGUGGUCUCUACCACAAAUGGAAUUGGACACUCCAUUUCUCCCUACC
rnacentral:lncRNA from 1 species